GUUGUGCAGAGACAACGGGCUGCCUCGCUAAACGAUGCACACCUGUAACUCACGUGACCCUGGUUAUUAUUGAAACGAGAACGAGGGCGUCGUGCCUUUAUAAGACUGCGUUAAUGGUUCCGUGGAGUCAUCCCUUCCGUUGUUGUUUAUUGAUUGUUAAACAUGGCUUCAUUUGCAAAGGUGGUUGUGUGUGUCCUCAUUGCUUGUGUCUGUAAUGCAUUCGGUUUUCCGAAGAGAGAUGUGAACUUUAAGGCCUCUGCAGUUGACCGCCAAAGUGAUGAUGUGGUUGUCACCACAACACCCGUUCCCCACAACCAGACCACCUCUGCCCCUACUGAAGCUGGUGGUGGUGCAAGUGAAUAUGCUGUGGCUACUACCCCAGCACCUAAUCCACACAACCAGUCAACUUCUGCACAAACUGAAGUUACUGAUGAAGCCAGUGAAGAUGCUGUGGACCGCCAAAGUGAUGUGGUUUCCACCACAACACCCAAUCCCCACAACCAGACCACAUCUGCCCCUACUGAAGCUGAUGGAGCAAGUGAAGAUGAUUCAGAUGAUGAUGAUGCUGCAAGUGAAGAUGAUGAUUCUGCAAAUGAAGAUGAUGAUGCUGCAAGUGAAGAUGCUGUGGCUACCACCCCAACACCAAAUCCCCCAACUACAUCUCACCACACUGCAGCUACCGAUGAUGCAAGUGAGGGUGCUGUGGCUGCCUAAACUGGAACUACUGUAUCCCAUACGACUGAAGUCUGAUUCGACUGCUCCUCUGGUCACAAUAACCUGUCUGGACUUUUUGCCUCUACAUGUUGACUGCAAUAAAGGACAGAUUUUGUAUUUUUUUUAAUCAAAUGUUGUCUUGCCUUUUUCAAAUUGAGGCCUUGUCCUGUUUUGGUAGUGGAGAUGACUAUGAAGCCUCUUUUCUAACGUAUUUCCUG
ensembl:lncRNA